rnacentral:misc_RNA from 1 species
GAUGAAGAACGCAGCGAAAUGCGAUAAGUAAUGUGAAUUGCAGAAUCCAGUGAAUCAUCGAAUCUUUGGACGCACAUUGCGCCCGCCAGCAUUCUGGCGGGCAUGCCUGUUCGAGCGUCAUUUCAACCCUCGACCUCCCCUUGGGGAGGUCGGCGUUGGGGACCGGCAGCACACCGCCGGCCCUGAAAUGGAGUGGCGGCCCGUCUGCGGCGACCUCUGCGUAGUAAUACAGCUCGCACCGGAACCCCGACGCGGCCACGCCGUAAAACACCCAACUUCUGAACGUUGACCUCGAAUCAGGUAGGACUACCCGCUGAACUUAAGCAUAUCAAUAAGCGGAGGA